rnacentral:rRNA from 1 species
AGGCAGCAGUGGGGAAUAUUGCUCAAUGGGCGAAAGCCUGAAGCAGCGACGCCGCGUGAAGGAUGAAAUCCGUUAGGAUGUAAACUUCUUUUGCAAGAGAAGAAUGUUCCGCUUUGCGCGGAAAGAGACUGUACCUUGCGAAUAAGGAUCGGCCAACUACGUGCCAGCAGCCGCGGUAAUACGUAGGAUCCAAGCGUUGUCCGGAAUUACUGGGUGUAAAGGGUCUGCAGGCGGGCAAGCAAGUCGAUGGUGAAAUCUCACGGCUCAACCGUGAAACUGCCGUCGAAACUACUUGUCUUGAGUUCGAGAGAGGGUAAUGGAAUUCAUGGUGUAGCGGUGAAAUGCGUAGAUAUCAUGAAGAACACCAGUAGCGAAGGCGGUUACCUGGCUCGAUACUGACGCUCAGAGACGAAAGCGUGGGUAGCAAACAGGAUUAGAUACCCUGGUAGUCCACGCCUUAAACGAUGGAUGUUCGGUGUCGGUCCGCAAGGAUCGGUGCCUGAGUUAACGCGUUAAACAUCUCACCUGGGGAGUACGAUCGCAAGGUUGAAACUCAAAGGAAUUGACGGGGGCCCGCACAAGCAGUGGAGCAUGUGGUUCAAUUCGAUGCAACGCGAAGAACCUUACCUGGGUUUGAAAGGCAAGUGACCGGCGAUGAAAGUCGCUCUCCCCGCAAGGGGCACUUGUACAGGUGCUGCAUGGCUGUCGUCAGCUCGUGCCGUGAGGUGUUAGGUUAAGUCCUGUAACGAGCGCAACCC